rnacentral:rRNA from 1 species
UACGUAGGGUGCAAGCGUUGUCCGGAAUUAUUGGGCGUAAAGAGCUCGUAGGCGGUUUGUCGCGUCUGCUGUGAAAACCCGAGGCUCAACCUCGGGCCUGCAGUGGGUACGGGCAGACUAGAGUGCGGUAGGGGAGAUUGGAAUUCCUGGUGUAGCGGUGGAAUGCGCAGAUAUCAGGAGGAACACCAAUGGCGAAGGCAGAUCUCUGGGCCGUAACUGACGCUGAGGAGCGAAAGCGUGGGUAGCGAAUGGG